rnacentral:rRNA from 1 species
UACAGAGGUGGCAAGCGUUGUUCGGAAUUACUGGGCGUAAAGGGCGCGUAGGCGGUCCUGUAAGUCUUGUGUGAAAUCCCUCGGCUUAACUGAGGAACUGCACGAGAUACUGCGAGACUUGAGUUCGGGAGAGGAAAGCGGAAUUCCGGGUGUAGUGGUGAAAUGCGUAGAGAUCCGGAGGAACCCCAGAGGCGAAGGCGGCGCCCUGGCUCGACACUGACGCUCAGACACGACAGCAUGGGGAGCGAACGGG